rnacentral:rRNA from 1 species
CCUACGGGAGGCAGCAGUGGGGAAUAUUGCACAAUGGGGGAAACCCUGAAGCAGCGACGCCGCGUGAGUGAAGAAGUAUUUCGGUAUGUAAAGCUCUAUUAGUAGGGAAGUAAAUGACGGUACCUGACUAAGAAGCUCCGGCUAACUACGUGCCGGCAGCCGUGGUGAUACGGAGGGGGCAGGCGUUAUCCGGAUUUACUGGGGGUAAAGGGGGUGUAGGCGGGUGAGCAAGUCUGUAGUGAAAUCCAAUGGCUUAACCAUGGAACUGCUGUUGAAACUGUGCAGCUGGAGUAUAGGAGAGGUAAGCGGAAUUCCUGGUGUAGCGGUGAAAUGCGUAGAUAUUAGGAGGAACACCAGUGGCGAAGGCGGUGUACUGGAGCAUAACUGACGUUGAGGCUCGAAAGCGUGGGGAGCAAACAGGAUUAGAUACCCUUGUAGUC